UGUGAAGGUAACUUAAAAACACAAAGGGGAGUAGGGGACACUUAAUCCUCUUUCGUCAAAAUCGCAGCCGUCGAGGGUCACAAAAAACCGAUUCUUAGAUCCGCCUCUCCGGUGGUCGGUGCUUCUCACCGGCACCGCGAGAGGGCUCUUAUUGUUGUUCCUUUGCUUUGUUCUUAGUCUUGUUGGUGUUUCCUUUGGUGAAACCUUGGCGAUUGGAGUGGCGGUUUUGUUGCGGCGUGGGUCUUUGGUGAUUGCAAAGGUGGAUUUUGCAAGGAUUGGCGGAUUCUCUAUGCUUUAAAGGUGUUGGCUCUGGUUAGUGUUGUCGGGUGAUGGUGGAUCUGGUAAGUGACGAGAGCUUGUGGUUGUUGGAAGUUUCUGUCCCCUUGGUUCUUUUGGGGCUGUGGUGGUGUUGGCCUUUGCCGGGUGGGCUGCUCCUCUCGUUGGUUUCUCGCAUGGUUGCACUUGGUGUAGUCUUUGUAUUUUGUGUUGAUGGCUUAAUCGUUGCCUCUGGUCUCUUGCUUGUGGCUUUAAGGUUGUAUAAUCGUUAGUUUAGGUAGCUUAAGGGGUUGUGUAGGUUAGUUUAGGCUCUGAUUCUACGGAUAAUCCGGGAUUUUGGUAUGGCUACCUCGUUCUCCUUCCUCUCUUGCUGCCCGAAGCUUUGGUCUGAGCUUGCUAGAGCUCUCUUGUUUUUGUGUCUUGCUGAGCUUGCUUUUGUCCUUUGAUGAGCUUUAUUGUGAUCUCUCCGGUUCGAUCGUAUGCUUUUCUCCUUUUGAGUUUAGUGUUUGCCGGUUAGAGGUUUGUUUCGCUCCUUGUCUCUACACUCAAGACCUGAUCGAGGUCUGGUCAGUUCAUGUCUUCUAACGAGGCGAUUAAAGGUCGUGGUUUGCGACAAAUGCCGCUUCCGAAAGAUUUGUGGGAUUUGGUCUCUUUGUCUCGCGUCUUUCUUGUCGGAAUAGAAGUCUAGGUUCAUUCGAUUUGAGAGGUACCUUGGCUACGCAAUAGGAGGUUUCGUUGACUGCAAGAUGGACACGUGUUGUCCUUUGUGGCUGGCUUGGUUCACAUUUGUGUGGGAGUAAGAUUGGCAAGUUCGUUUUCUUUCGAGCUUUUGUUUAAGUUUUUGACUGUUGUUUCGUUUUUGUGGAUUGUAUUCUCCACGUGUUCAACUGGUUCCCUCUUUUGGGCUUUCGCUUCCCUCUUUUGGGAUUUAAGUUUCCGGGGAUUUCUAGUGUUUCCGCCGGCUUAUGUAUUUCAACAAUGUAUCCUUCUUUGUGAUAUUAAUAAAAACAGACGACAAAAAAAAAAGAGUAGGGGACACUUGUGACCAAAUACAAGACUUGUGGAAGACAUGACAGCAAGGCAAUGUGAUUGCUUCUUCUCCAAGAAAUAUCUCCCCAACGCAAAUCAUACACGGAUUAAGCCGAUCCAUGUCUGAUCUAAGCACCUUAAAACGCUCUAACCCGAAAAUCGUAGAUCUAUAUGUUGGUACCGUAGAGCUGCUCGAAGAAAUCUCCAUCUGAACCGUCUUUAUCAUUGCCUGGUUAGCUCUUCUAGACACAUCAUAGGGAUGCAUACAAUGAGUGAAACCCAUCUCCGAUAUUACUUCUCUGAUUUGUUUUUCCACUCUUUUCUUGAUCAGAUCCGAGAUUUUACUCUCAAUCAAUCGCUCACAUUGUAUGUCCCUAUAAAUCUUGUUCAGGGACUCGUAAUCAUCAGGCGUUACCUCAAGGUUUCUGUUGAUUUGAUACUUAAGAGUCAACCACAUAUCAUAACAAGAAAACUCAUCCUUCUUGAUGGUUUUCAACUAGUCCAUAAGACUUUCGAUAUCUCCAGGUUUAUUCAACAACUUAUGUUCAAGAUCGUGGGACAAGAAAGGCGAAUUCUCGCAAAUCUCCCUCCGUAAAACCUCGUACGCCUUCCAAGUAGUAAAAUCUGUGGACUCUGUUUCUGUGUCAAGGUACGAACAGGGAAAACAAAAUCUGUGAGUGGACUUUCUUGUUGUUUCCCUCGUGGAUUUAGGGAUGUAGAUAGCGACCAAGUUAUACUCAACCUAUAUAAAGAAUUGAGCAUACGAGAGAGUCUUCUCGCAGUCAUCAACACCAUUCUGUUUCGAAUGUGAUUUCAUCAAAACAGUUUGGUAAUACGUUUCGAGGGGAGGAAGUCUUAACCAAGGGCCAUAGACGUUUGUUCUUGACGUGUCGUUCAAGGCACGUUCCUUAGGAAACCUAACCUGAUCGCAAUUGCUUUUCACGUGACCAACCAUGCCACAGUUGUAGCAAAAAUCACCUAAGUUUCUAUAUUUAAACUCCACGAACCGGUUUUGGUUUUCGCCUAUGUAGAAUCCUUGUUUGAGUGGCUUAUUGAGAUAAAUUUCCAUUAGGAAACAGACAAUAUUGUUUCUUAUUGUUGAACUUAUGUUGUCUCAGGAAUAUAGAUGCAGAUCACAAUACGUACAUACAAACACGUACACUUUAUUAAAUGAGUAACCAGAAGAGAACUGAAACUGAAAUACGUACACAAGUAUGUACACCGUCGAUCUCUUCUCUGCUUUAACGUAAGAACAACGUAUAGAUUGAUUGAGGCUUGCAAUAAGCAAUCUCCUAAGACAGAAUUUUGCCCCUACGAUGGUGUUAGUAGCUUUCUGUGGGCGUUUAUCUUGCAGGAUACAACAAUCGAUCUCUGUAUUCACACCUAUACAGAGACCCUAGCAAACCUACUUUGAGAUUCUCAGAAACUAAUUUGGAAA
rnacentral:lncRNA from 1 species